rnacentral:rRNA from 1 species
UACGUAGGGGCCUAGCGUUGUCCGGAUUUAUUGGGCGUAAAGAGCUCGUAGGCGGUUCGGUAAGUCAGGUGUGAAAUCUCCACGCUCAACGUGGAAGCGCCACCUGAAACUGCCGUGACUCGAGUCCGGUAGGGGAGUGUGGAAUUCCUGGUGUAGCGGUGAAAUGCGCAGAUAUCAGGAGGAACACCAGUGGCGAAGGCGGCACUCUGGGCCGGUACUGACGCUGAGGAGCGAAAGCGUGGGGAGCGAACAGG